CGAGGGAGUUGGGUUAGUCCCUACGAGCGCUCCCUUGUCCUUAGUUGCCAUCAUUUAGUUGGGGACUCUAAGGAGACUGCCGGUGACAAACCGGAGGAAGGCGGGGACGACAUCUAGUCNUCNUGGCCCUUACGAGUAGGGCUACACACGUGCUACAAUGGGGAGUACAGAGGGCCGCGAAGCCGCGAGGUGGAGCUAAUCUCACAAAGCUUGUCGUAGUCCGGAUUGGAGUCUGCAACUCGACUCCAUGAAAUCGGAAUCGCUAGUAAUCGCGAAUCACAAUGUUACGGUGAAUACGUUCCCGGGCCUUGUACACACCGCCCGUAUAA
rnacentral:rRNA from 1 species